AAGACUAUAGACCUGCGGAGUACCUGCGGAAGGAUCAUUAAUGAAACAUUUGUCGAGAGGGGUUGUAGCUGGCCUCCACCCAGUGGGGGGGGAGGCAGGUGCACGCCCUGAUCACAAAAUCUUUCCACCUUUCCACACACCUGUGCACGACCUUGCAGCUUGUUGGGGGGUGGUUUCCUCUCCUCUCUCGCUGUGAAUUUUUUUCACACACGCGUGCUAUAAUGUUUUGAACACAAAAGA
rnacentral:misc_RNA from 1 species